rnacentral:lncRNA from 1 species
GUUGUUCGCCCUAAAUCAAAUCUAGCUACUCAUAAUAAUGGAAGAAACGCAAGAUAAAAUAAUGGAAGACAUCACCGGGAUAAAUUGACGAAACGUGAAUGAGUUUCCCAAUUUUGCUCUAGCCGUCUUCUCCUUCUUUUCUGCCCAAAUCUGCUGUGUGUAUGCUGUCUAUUGUUUAAUCCACCAGUAGCCAAAACUGUGUUCCUUUUAAUUCAGUCUAUGUGUGUAAUUCUCCUUUUGGCUGCUUCGUUCCUGUGUAUGUUUAAUAUGAUAAUGCAGCAACUGGCCAGCCUUUCAAUGUGCAUGAAGUUAUAUAAUAAUGAUUGAUUGCUUCUUUUUUUUCUCUGCAUGACCGCGUGUCUCUAUAAAAAAAAUUUAGCAUCGGCCAAUUAAUUCUCAUCCUCCUCUCCUCUGCUGGUCCUCUUUUUCUUUUUGUUGGUAUGUGUAUAUAUAUAAUCUAUAAAAAAAACCUAGAGCCACCAAAUUUGACUAACAAAAGGACUCUAGAUUUUUUCCAAAAAACCCCCCCAGUGUGAAUUCAUAUAUAUUCCCCUUUACAGCCACCAUAAUUGAAUCUAAUUCAAACCCUUUAAUGUAAUAUUACCCAUCAAGUCCUCAAUCUUCCAAUAUAAUGCAAUUCAAUCCUUGAGUCCUUUUAUUCUUGUAACACAUGUCUACUUUGAUUCAAUUAAAGUCCUUCACUUUCCAAAAUAUGAAAUUUGAUCUCUAAAUUCUUCAGUCAUCGAUUCAUGGUCCGGAUCAACUAUUGAAUUGUUACAACUUGGUCCCAAAACUUUUGCAUUUCGCUCUUUUUUGCUUAAUUCUUUCAAUUCCCUUUUCAUUCAUAGAAUUUACCUAUUAAAAAUAAAAAACAACAAUUUAGAAUAUAAUUUGUCAAAAAGAACCAUCAAAUAUCUUCAUUUUAAGGUACCGAAUAAGUGUAUAAAAUACACUUAUCAAAUAUCCCCAAACUUAAACAUUUGUUUGUCCUCAAACAAAACUAUAAAUAAAUAAUAAUUAACACACAAGCAUGCAAAAAUAUUGGGUUGGACAAUCUAGCUUCUCACCUCAGAAUUCAAGAUUUAGUGUUUAAAGUCAUAGUUCCAAACUAAUAUCCACUCUUCCAAUACAAAAAUUAACGUGUGUGUGUGAAGAAUCGAGUAAUCAACCAUGACUGCACAAGUUGUUUAAAUUCCC